rnacentral:rRNA from 1 species
UGGGGAAUAUUGCGCAAUGGGCGAAAGCCUGACGCAGCGACGCCGCGUGGACGAAGAAGGCCUUAGGGUUGUAAAGUCCUGUCAGGAGGGACGAAGGUGCUUGCAUUGACGGUACCUCCAGAGGAAGCCCCGGCCAACUACGUGCCAGCGGCCGCGGUAAAACGUAGGGGGCGAGCGUUGUCCGGAAUCAUUGGGCGUAAAGAGCACGUAGGCGGCCUGUCAAGUCGGAUGUGAAAACCCAUGGCUCAACUGUGGACCUGCAUACGAAACUGGCAGGCUUGAGUCCAGUAGAGGAAAGUGGAAUUCCCAGUGUAGCGGUGAAAUGCGCAGAUAUUGGGAAGAACACCAGUGGCGAAGGCUGCUUUCUGGGCUGAGACUGACGCUGAGGUGCGAAAGCUAGGGGAGCGAACAGG